ACGUCCCUAUGGGGGGCAGCAGUGGGGAAUAUUGCACAAUGGGCGAAAGCCUGAUGCAGCAACGCCGCGUGAAGGAAGACGGUUUUCGGAUUGUAAACUUCUCCCAAUAGGGAAGAAAGAAAUGACGGUACCUAAAUAAGAAGCCCCGGCUAACUACGUGCCAGCAGCCGCGGUAAUACGUAGGGGGCAAGCGUUAUCCGGAAUUACUGGGUGUAAAGGGAGAGUAGGCGGCAAGGUAAACGAUAUGUGAAAGCCUUAGGCUUAACCAAAGGAUUGCAUAACGAACUAUCUAGCUA
rnacentral:rRNA from 1 species